UUCCUAAAGAAACCCAGUUGGGCAUGAAUACUUAGGACUUUCACAACUAGAAACAAUGGCUUUCUCAGUUAAAAAAAGAGGAAUGAAAAGAUAUGUAGGCCUCCUGAGCAAGGCAGGGGAAGCAAGCCAGUAAGUAACAUCCCUACAUGGCCUCUGCAGCAACUCCUGCUUCCUGACCUGCUUGAGUUCCAGUCCUGAC
rnacentral:lncRNA from 14 species